rnacentral:antisense_RNA from 2 species
CCUGAUGUGGGAGCGGGCUUGCUCGCGAAGCAGGCGACACGAUUUAUCUGGAAACCGCGUUAUCGUUCUUCGCGAGCAAGCCCGCUCCCACACACGG